rnacentral:lncRNA from 1 species
CGGUGCCCCGCUCUGUGCCCCGCUCAGUACCCCGCUCAGUGCCCGCAGAGCUGCCUGGCCUUAUCUUAUGCCCCUGCACCUUUGAUGAAGGACUGUCCUAGUCUAAGUGGACGUAAGCCCACGAUGAAUGAUUAAGUUGCAAGACCGAGACCCUCACAACUGGGCCAUCGCGUCUUCCCAUGUCCUCCCCCAGCCGCCGAGACCCAGGUGCCCAAAGUCCGCAUGAAAGUGACCCGGUCGCCCACCACCAGCCCCAGCGUCCGCCUCCUGAGCAAGCCAACGAAUGGGCACCGUGCCAAACGCACAGACUCAGGAACUGGAUGCCGGUUCCAACUCCUGCCCUCGAGCGGGACAGCCUGUGGGCCGCGCACCACAUGGUGGGCGCUGGAUUCCGGGGCUGUGGUCAACGUCGCGGUGGUCACCGCCGUCGCGACAGUCUCAGGGGACCUCUUUCCAGAGUCGUCCAGACCAUCGAAUGUACCUGUCUCCCACCUACUUAGGGGGUUUCGAUGGGCACGAGGGAAUUGCGCUGUUAUUGGAGGGAAAUAAUUGUCUCUUAAGCCAGUUGGGCUAGUCCCUGGGGGCUCCUUCAAAUUUGGGGGGCCAUUUAAGGAACCAUGCGGAGCCCAGAAAAGAGAACCAUGAAGACGCCACACUCAAAAUGGCGUUGGAUUCGAAAAGCGUGGCGUGACGUGGCGAUCCGACCCACGCGGACGGUCCGAAAACCUUAGGCUACACCCUCUUCAUCGCCUCGGCACUUCGCUGUGGAACUAAUAAAUUUGUUUUGUGGGAGCAAAGACUAGAAUAAAUACAAAUAGAGUCCAGAAAAAUACCUAUGCCACACACAAGAUGGCGACAGAUAGACUCCGUCCAUAUGUUGCCAGAAGGGGGCGCCCGACACGGAAGGCGGGACUCCGGAGAAACUAACGCACACUGGCUGAGAGUGGCGGGCGAACACAAAGUUGACGCUUUGCGUCCUGCCAUUGGCAGUUCCUGCCGUCUGUCUCCUGGGGCCGCCGAUCUGGGAACGGGGAAAACCCGGAGUUUGGGAAGGUGACGGGCGGACGGAUGGAUGCCAAGACCUGCGGAGCUUUAAGUCGAGGCGAAAAGAGGGAUUGAGUUGCCCUUCUCUGUUUCCUUAGGUCCUGGGCGAGCUGGCUCAUCUCCACCGCGAGGACCCUUUUGCUGAGCUUAUCACGCGCUUCCCUAGGAGAAAGGGUGCGCAGGGCUGGGGCGCCGCCCAGUUGGACCUCCUUGCGUUUCCCCCACCCCGCACGCGCCAAGCCCGCAUCCCGGUGCACGUGUGCCAGCCUGGCCACUGGCCUGUUGGGCAUUCUCGAACGACUUUUCCUUUAGGGAGAACCCGGGUUCCCUGUCUUUUGGCCUGAAGAAUCGUGGGGCUGCUGCCGGACAGCGCUGGGUUACCGCGCCCCCUCCCGCUGCCGAGCGGUCGCCCCCAGUCCUGAGAGCUUUGCGGCGGGGAGGACACCGCAGGGUUACCGCCUGCCCGCAGGGCGCCCCAGUGGCUGGAAGUGGAGUCCCUCAGAAUGUGCGCGCGUCCACCUUAGGGGUUUCACAAUGUUGUCCCUGGCGACUACGCGUCCCAACUCUUUGUUCGCCCCCCCACACCCGCGCCAGCUGCCUUUACUGCGGCGCAGACUUGCGGCCGCCCUUCACAGACGGGGAGGAGGGGCUCCUCGGCUGCUAUCGCCGGAUCCCCUACUUUGUGCUAUUCUCGAGGGAGGUGAAGGGAUUAUGCGUCACCAAGGACUGGGAGAGCGCCGGCUACCUGCAGCGCAUCCAUUCAGCUCCAGGCACCCUCCAAGGAAUUGUUUCUGUCCACAAAACCCGGAUGCAAUGAGAGCUUGGCCAGCGCCUCUUCGUAGCGGCUGUUUUCCUUCCAAUCUGGAGAGUGGCCUUGGGCAAUCACUUCUGUAUCCACAGCUGAAAACAGGACAAGACUGUUCUGGAUCCUAGUCGCUGGGAAGGGGGGGGUGGGGGGACACCCUGGAGGAGCUGAGGUGAAUGUGAAUUUUCCUCGAAAAACUGCUUUGCCUGACCUUGUUCCCAUGUAACUGGCUCUGCUAGAAGUGGGUGCAGGAGGUUCCUGCCCACCGGCUCCAGAACCACCACUUGAUUCAUCAAAGCACUCACGAAGCUCCUACUAUUUCAUGGUGGUCAGAAUUUUUCUCAUGUUUCAAGCAUUUCCAUUUAUUCUUAUAAACUAGGUAGGACAGUUUCAGAGUUGAGCCAUAUAGAAUUAAUUAGUUUAUUUAAUUUUGGUACACCAAAACCAAUUGAAAAUCGAUAUCACCCUCCUUUUAACAAGUCAAAAAAGCAAACAGGAAUUUAUAGCAAAGGACUUAAGAGUUAACAAGUGAAUCAGGGCCUGACUUAGGGUAACAUCCUAGAAUGGAAGAACCUGCAUUGUUAGAGGAGCCCUGGAGCAGAAGACACUCAGUAGACCUCCAGGCCUUAGGAGUGUGAUAUCUGACAAUGGUAACCACUGGGGACAUUGAGGCUUCCUCCAGGGACAGGUCACUCUUGGCUAUUUCUGACUGGGUAGUUCUUCCUGUCCCUUGUCACUUCCAUCUCUAGUGAUUCUUAUGCCCUUUGCUGUUACACAGACAGGAGGUCAGGUACUUCCAUGAUCUGUCCUUGGCAUUCCUCCUCCUGUGACCCAGAAGCUGAUGAGCUCUAGUGGGCCCUAGUGGCUUGCCUUUCUUGCUCAGGAUCUGUUCAGCCAAGAUACCCUGCACUUAGGUCACAGCUGCUCUAAGCCAGGGGCCCCAAAUGGCUUACAGGCAAGUUUGAUUUCAGGGAGUUUUCGGGGAGGCCUCUGGGUUGCCUAAACACUCUUCCACAGCCACCCCACAGACCUCUCCCUGCCAGCCUCACUCACAUUGGUCUGCCUGGUCCUGUAGGCACUUAGUUUGCAGCCUAGGCUUGCUAUUAAGCCAUUUCCGACACAUUCCUAAUGGGUCAUCUCAAUUCUGCUUGAUUCCCAAAAGAUCAGACAAUGCAUUUGGGGGUUCAAGCUGCCUGGGUUCAAAUCCGGUCCUGCCACAUGCCAGCCAUGUAGAAUUGGGCCAGCUUCCUCCUCACCUCCAAAAACUGGAAAUGAAGUAAUAGUUCCUACCUUGCAGAGUUAUUGUGGGAAGUGAAUGAGUUAAUAUUCAGAAAGUACUGAAAAUAGCAUCCUCCACAUCCAGGGAAACUAGUGUUCUCAGGACUCUCUUCCAGCUGCCAUCUGUACCUAAGUGGGUUAGGUUUAUGGUGUUUGAAAGACUUGAUGAAAGAACAGUGUCUUCAGCAGAGUCUUCCCAUGUUUGGUGGCAAGUGAGGGCACUGUCCCCGCUGAGUUGUGUUUUUGUUUUUUAGUUAUAAAUGGACACAGUACCUUUAUUUUAUUUAUUUUCAUGUGAUGCUGAGGAUCAAACCCAGUGCCUCACAUGUACGAGGCAAGUGCUCCACCACUGAGCUACAAUCCCAGUCCCUAACUGAGUUUCUUGAAGCCUGUGAUCUGGUUCCUAACAAGCUUGGCAGCCCCCUGCAUUAGAGGAAUGCUGCAGUCUGAGAGGCAGCCAUGAAGGAAGCCUCAAAACUCCUGCCUUCCCACCCUUCGGAAGCCCAGGAGUUUCAGCCUGUGGUUUCCUCGCCUGGGUGUCAGGGCCUGGGGAGCUGCCAGGCGCCUUUCAACCCUCCCGCCUUGCAAGCCCAGCGGGUUUGUGUAAGAGUGAGCCACCCCCCUCACAUGGCUGCUCCCUCCCACAGCACGCCCAGGCCUGCAUGUCCUCCCAGGGAUCUGGGCCAGAGGCCUGGCUCCUGGUACCCACACAGGUAUGGAGGCCCCUGCCUGGCAGUGAGAAAGUGGGGAAUGUCUCUUGAUAUUUGAUGCCUGUCCCCAAAAGGGUGCCAAGGCCUGUGGAGGACCAAUGUGAGAUUAGCCAAGCAAGGUAAGGAGGCUGGGGGAGGUGAGUGUUCCAGGCACAUGGCAGCCACCUCAGCACUAUGGGGCCGCUGUGCUGACUCCCUGCACAUGCACUGCACUGCCUUUCAUGUCUCUGGGAAUCCUGUGCCUGCCUGCGCCAUUUCCUGGCCCUCUUCCCAGCAUCCCUCCUGUGUGUGUGCACCUAUUUGCAUAGCUGAGCCCGUGGGUGUGUUUUGCUUUAGCUCUGGUUAUGGUUGUGAGUGGGCAGGCCCAGCCUCGUGGUAGCAGGGGAAGGCGCUGACUGGGGAGCACGUGAGUGAGCCUGCACACACCUGGGCAACCGCCUGAAGAGGCCUGAAGAGUGCUGCACCUGAGAAGGGCCUAGUUAUCUUCAGGGCACUGCAAGAAGAAAUUACCUGAGCAUCUCCUCACCUGUGCCUUCCUGCCACGCAGCCCCACAUGGAAGCCCAGCAGGACUAAGAGCCCUGAAGAGGACCCAGCUGAGGGUCUGUGUGCCCAUGCCAGGCCAUCAGCCCCAGCUCACGCGAGCUUGACAUUGAGGAAGGAUGCACUUUGACAUGCUGGAGCUUCCUUUCUCCUUAGCCUCAGGUAGAUCUUUUCUACCCUCACCCCUGGCAGAGCAGCUGCUGCCACCCUAUUUGGGGAGAGAAGAUGUAUGGGUCAAGGGCAGAGCACACAGGGACAUUCAGCCAGCGAGGAUUUUCUCACUCUCCUACCAAGUGACCAACAGUCUGUUUUCCUGGAACUGAAGGCUUUGCAGGAUGCAGAGCUCUCAGCACCACAACCAGAAAUCUGGGCAAACCAGGACACAUUGGUCACAGGAGUCCAGUCACUAUGCACAUCCUGGGAAAAAUGACAUCUCUGAAGAAAUCUGUAACCACUGCUGAGAAGGGUCCUUGUGGUCCUCAACCCAAAAACAGCCUCCCACUCCAACUGUGCUCUUCUUUGUCAUGAGAACCAGGCGAUGAAGCUGGGAGAAAGGGAGCAUUUGGUGUGCACGUGGCAAAGAGGGAUGGAGGUGUUCAGGGAGAUCCCUGAGCGAGCUGGGUGAUGCAGGGAUGGGGACCUCCUGUCCCCUCCCCAGAGUGCUCUCACCUGCCCUUCAUAGAUCAGGGUCUUCAAUCAGGUCCUGGCAUGCAGAUCCACUUGUCUCUAGGUCCAGGUGAAAGAAGCAAGCCUCUCUGGAACAAAGGGAUGAUUUCUCAGGCUCCUUUCAAAAAAAUGGUCUCUCUUCCAAAAGCGUUUUUGAGAAUCUCACAGGAAGAAAGUGAGGCAUUCACUUGAAUGAUUCCAUAGGAGAAUCUCCAAACAGCCUUUGGCCUCACCCCAGAAUGAAAGUCUUGCCAGAAAAGGUAAGGCCCGUCCAGCACCUUUUGAUGGAAAAAUGCAAGGUCUCAGAGCGGUUUGAAAUGGGAGUCAAGAAACAUCCUUAGCCAGGAACCCCAGCUUUUGGGUACUGAAAGCUUUCAGCUUCAUGGAAAACUAUCACUGGCAAUAGUGGAAAUUCUCUGUGCUCUUUCUCCUCCAUCCCAGUGUCUCUUUCCUCCCUCUGUCCUAGUAGUGGGACAGGAGGACCCACUCUUAGGCUUGAUUGACAGUGAUUCUAAGUAGUUCCCCACCUUUCCCACCUGGUUCCCAUCAUCUGGAAAUCUACAUCCCUGCAGGCCCUGUGAGCUGGGCCUGGGCAAGGGUAGGUCUGGUUGUGUCCCCCAUUCAGUGUGACUCUUUUCUUAUGGGUCCUGCCAUACUUCAUCAAGAAAUGAUCAUUUGCUGGGUCUGGUGGCACGCACCUGUAAUCCCAGCAACUCAGGUGGCUGAGGAGGAUGACAAGUCCAAGGCCAGCCUCAGCAACUUAGCAAGGCCUAAGUGAGUUAGUGAGACCCUGUCUCAAAAAGUUAAAAGCCUGGGGACGUGGCUUGGUGGUUCAAUACCUGGUACCAAAAAAAGAAAGAAAG